rnacentral:misc_RNA from 1 species
CCACUCACACCCACCUCUUGG